UACGUAGGGUGCGAGCGUUGUCCGGAAUUAUUGGGCGUAAAGAGCUCGUAGGUGGUUUGUCGCGUUGUUCGUGAAAACUCACAACUCAAUUGUGGGCGUGCGGGCGAUACGGGCAGACUGGAGUACUGCAGGGGAGACUGGAAUUCCUGGUGUAGCGGUGGAAAUGCGCAGAUAUCAGGAGGAACACCGGUGGCGAAGGCGGGUUCUCUGGGGCAUGUCCUGACGCUGAGGCGCGAAAGCGUGGGUAGCAAACAGG
rnacentral:rRNA from 1 species